AGGAUGAGUCCCGCGUACCAUUAGCUAGUUGGUGGGGUAAUGUCCCACCAAGGCUACGAUGGUUAGCUGGUCUGAGAGGAUGAUCAGCCACACUGGACCUGAGACACGGUCCAGACUCCUACGGGAGGCAGCAGUGGGGAAUAUUGCACAAUGGGCGAAAGCCUGAUGCAGCGACGCCGCGUGAGUGAAGAAGUAUUUCGGUAUGUAAAGCUCUAUCAGCAGGGAAGAAAAUGACGGUACCUGACUAAGAAGCCCCGGCUAACGACGUGCCAGCAGCCGCGGUAAUACGUAGGGUGCAAGCGUUGCCCGGAUUUAUUGGGCGUAAAGGGCGCGUAGGCGGCUACGCACGUCCGUUGUGAAAUCGCCCGGCUCAACUGGGCGGGGUCGGCGGAUACGGCGUAGCUUGAGCAAGCUAGGGGGCAAUGGAAUUCCCGGUGUAGUGGUGGAAUGCGUAGAUAUCGGGAGGAACACCAGUGGCGAAGGCGGUUGCCUGGGGCUUUGCUGACGCUGAUGCGCGAAAGCGUGGGGAGCGAUCCGGAUUAGAUACCCGGGUAGUCCACGCCGUAAACGAUGCGGACUAGGUGUCGGGGGUAUCGACCCCCUCGGCGCCGCAGCUAACGCAUUAAGUCCGCCGCCUGGGGACUACGGCCGCAAGGCUAAA
rnacentral:rRNA from 1 species